GAUGAACGCUGGCGGCGUGCCUAAUACAUGCAAGUCGAGCGAACAGAUAAGGAGCUUGCUCCUUUGACGUUAGCGGCGGACGGGUGAGUAACACGUGGGUAACCUACCUAUAAGACUGGAAUAACUCCGGGAAACCGGGGCUAAUGCCGGAUAACAUUUAGAACCGCAUGGUUCUAAAGUGAACGAUGGUUUUGCUAUCACUUAUAGAUGGACCCGCGCCGUAUUAGCUAGUUGGUAAGGUAACGGCUUACCAAGGCAACGAUACGUAGCCGACCUGAGAGGGUGAUCGGCCACACUGGAACUGAGACACGGUCCAGACUCCUACGGGAGGCAGCAGUAGGGAAUCUUCCGCAAUGGGCGAAAGCCUGACGGAGCAACGCCGCGUGAGUGAUGAAGGUCUUCGGAUCGUAAAACUCUGUUAUUAGGGAAGAACAAAUGUGUAAGUAACUGUGCACGUCUUGACGGUACCUAAUCAGAAAGCCACGGCUAACUACGUG
rnacentral:rRNA from 1 species